rnacentral:pre_miRNA from 1 species
UCCUUUAGGAACUGAAACACAGCCCAUUUAAGUCAAUGGAAAUCUUUCCACUGACUUCAGUGGGCUUUGGAUCAGGUCCUAUGUGA